AUGACCUGGGCUCUUCUCCUGCUCAGCCUCCUCAGUCAGGGCCCAGGAACCUGGGCCCAGAAUGUCCUGACUCAGCCUCCCUCAGUGUCUGGGACUCAGGGACAGUCAGUCACCAUCUCCUGUACAGGAACCAGCAAUGACAUUGGGACAUAUAGCUCUGUCUCCUGGGUCCAGCAGCAGGACAGCACAACCCCAAAAAUACUAAUUUAUGGUGUCAACACUCGGCCAUCAGGGAUCCCUGAUCGCUUCUCUGGCUCCAAGUCUGGCAACACAGCGACCCUGACCAUCUCUGGGCUCAAGCCUGAAGACGAGGCUGAUUACUACUGUGGCUCCUACAGAAGGGGUGGCACCAGCACAGUGGUUCACACUCAUAGGGAAGUGAGACAAAAACCUGCUCUGAGGCAUCUCUUCCUCCUUCCCUUCUGA